GUGAAGCGCCCUCACGGGCUUAUACUAUUCCAAACCUCUGUGAACCGUGCCCUUCGGGGCUAUUUUACAAACAUGGUGUAAUGAACGUCAUAUAUCCAUAACAAAACA
rnacentral:misc_RNA from 1 species